rnacentral:rRNA from 1 species
CACCGAAGCCUGCGGCAKUUMMGCUGUUAGGCAAUGUGGUGUUUGGGUCGGCUCGUGGGAUUGCCACUCCAUUCGAAGUCCAGCAUUGAGUAUGGUCACUGGAUUUGGCCCAGAGAGGGUGAAAGGCCCGUACGAAUGGAGUCAGACAAGUAAGGCAGUUCACCAGGCCGGCCUUAGAGUCGGGUUGUUUGAGAAUGCAGCCCAAAGUGGGUGGUAAACUCCAUCCAAGGCUAAAUACUAGCACGAGUCCGAUAGCGAACAAGUACCGUGAGGGAAAGUUGAAAAGUACUUUGAAGAGAGAGUAAACAGUACGUGAAACCGCAUGCAGGUAAACGGGUGGCGUCAAGCUGCAAGCCCGGAGGAUUCAGCUGGCUAGGAUGUUGUAUAUGCGCCUGGCGCAUCUAUCAGUCGGAGUAGGAUGUGUUAGUCCACUGGGAUACGGUGGGCCCGGCCGCAAGGUUGGGAUAUGUGUACCGGGUGUUUGCCGGAGCAUGCUAUCCAUCUGUUGGACUGUCUAGUCAGUGCACUUUCUCUGUGGUGAACACCACGACCGGUGGUAUUGCCAGUCUGCUGUAGCCAAGUCGUAUUCAGUGGGUUCUAUCAACUGGGUGCGAUCACAGGCAAACUCAGUAAACGGCGUAGGGGUGGCAUUCUGCGUGUUAUCGGCUACUGGUUGUCAACGGGCCUGCCUGAUGUGUUGUAAUCUCGGGUGGUCUGGUGGGUUAUGGUGGUAUGAAUAACUGUGCAAGGCACCGGAGUUCUCGGCCUCAUGCAUCCUGCGCCACAUUACAAGGGGUGCCAUUGUAGCCUGCCUAAUGUUGGGUCUGAUUGUCGUGUCGCCUGCGAAAAGUGGGCCCGGCAGUGGCCUGAUGUGGGAUGGGUUGCGGGGUGCCUCCGUGUAGGUGCUGUUGGCCAAAUAGUCAGUGGUGUAGUGGUAGACGAGCUACCCGACCCGUCUUGAAACACGGACCAAGGAGUUUAACAUGUAUGCAAGUCAAAGGGCCCUACGAAACCCCAAGGCGCAGUGAAAGUAAAGCUUCGACCUGUUCUCGGAGUGAGGUGAGAUCCUGCCGUUACUCGCAUCAGCGUCAGCAUCAGGCUAAGAGCGGUGGGCGCAUCACCGGCCCGUCCCAUGAUGUGGUCAUUGGA